CAUAACGUCUUNGGACCAAAGUGGGGGACCUUCGGNCCUCACACCAUCGGAUGUGCCCAGGUGGGAUUAGCUAGUAGGUGGGGUAAUGGCUCACCUAGGCGACGAUCCCUAGCUNGUCUGAGAGGAUGNCCAGCCACACUGGAACUGAGACACGGUCCAGACUCCUACGGGAGGCAGCAGUGGGGAAUAUUGCUCAAUGGGCGCAAGCCUGAUGCAGCCAUGCCGCGUGUAUGAAGAAGGCCUUCGGGUUGUAAAGUACUUUCAGUGGGGAGGAAGGCGAUGAGGUUAAUAACCUCGUCGAUUGACGUUACCCGCAGAAGAAGCACCGGCUAACUCCGUGCCAGCAGCCGCGGUAAUACGGAGGGUGCAAGCGUUAAUCGGAAUUACUGGGCGUAAAGCGCACGCAGGCGGUCUGUCAAGUCGGAUGUGAAAUCCCCGGGCUCAACCUGGGAACUGCAUUGGAAACUGGCAGACUAGAGUCUUGUAGAGGGGGGUAGAAUUCCAGGUGUAGCGGUGAAAUGCGUAGAGAUCUGGAGGAAUACCGGUGGCGAAGGCGGCCCCCUGGACAAAGACUGACGCUCAGGUGCGAAAGCGUGGGGAGCAAACAGGAUUAGCUACCCUCGUAGUCCCCGCCGUAA
rnacentral:rRNA from 1 species